GUUUAUGAAGGUGGGUUUGCGGCACAGGUACAAACACAAUUCAAUGACCAGCAUUAGCAUUUGUUGUACAAUCUGUUUUGUUACCGUAGUGCUUAGGCAAGAUUUGUUUCUAUACAGGGCACCUACAGUAGUUUUGGAUAUAGUUUUGAUGAGAGUUUUUUUAACGUGGAAGCCAUAAGAUCGGGGUCUAGCAUCAUCCCUAG